GCAACAUUUCUUAAAUUCACCCCAGAGUGUCAUAAUCCAUGCAAAGAGUUGUUCUUUGGGAGAAUCGUUCUGAUUGACUGUGUCAAUAUCACCCUGGCUGUAAUAUGCACAAGAGAUUAUUUGACUGAAUACCGUGUACAUUUUUAUGGCGAAAGAGUCCCUCAAUCUCUGAUCAACCCUGUGAACAGAGGUCACAUUGGUUUUUUCCUGUCUGUUACCUUGGUGCUCAUAGCCAUUGCGGUGUGUCUGCUGUGUGUUAGAUAUACAUACAAAAACAACAGAAGCAAUAGCCACUCAGUGUGAUAUGGGAUAAAGAAGAGAGUGUUCAGCAGAGUCUAUUUAAAGGGCACAUAUUAAGCCCCUUUUUACAAGAUGUAAUAUAAGUCUCAGGUGUCCCCAGAAUGU